rnacentral:tRNA from 1 species
GCUCCCCUCGUCUAGUCCGGUCAAGGACACGGCCCUCUCGAGGCCGAAACGCGGGUUCAAAAGUAAAAAACUGGAAAUCCCGCGGGGAGCA